ACGCAAUAGAUACCCCGGUAGUCCUGGCCCUAAACGAUGUCCACUAGGUCACGGCCCCUCUGACGGGGUCGUGGCCGAAAGCAAAAAAGUGUUAAAGUGGACCGCCUGGGAAGUACGGUCGCAAGGCUAAAACUCAAAGGAAUUGACGGGGGCUCACACAAGCGGUGGAGCAUGUGGUUUAAUUCGAAAGCAACGCGCAGAACCUUACCUGGGUUUGACAUGCCAGGAUUAUCCCGGUGAAAGCCGGGUAGGCCCCGCAAGGGGUACAACUGGCACAGGUGCUGCAUGGCUGUCGUCAGCUCGUGUCGUGAGAU
rnacentral:rRNA from 1 species